UCGAACACACACAGAGAAAGGGGGUCAGUCGCUGGCGCCUUCACGGGCGCAUGUGCACGUCCCCCCUUCUUCUUCUCUACACCACACACUUGUGCACACUCCGUCCGCGCUGGACCUCGUGAGGGGUCCGGCGAGGGUCUCACAUCACACUCUGACGUAUGGCCACAGAAUGUAUAUGAAUCAUUA
rnacentral:misc_RNA from 1 species